GGGAGAUAAGCCCCUUUUUGAAUGGGUUCUAUUCCCAAACCGUGUAUACAUACCUUUGUUGCUUUGGCAGGCCGCCUUCGGGCGUCGGCUCACGCUGACCGCGCCUGCCAGAGGACCCAAACUCGUUUGUUUAGUGAUGUCUGAGUACUAUAUAAUAGUUAAAACUUUCAACAACGGAUCUCUUGGUUCUGGCAUCGAUGAAGAACGCAGCGAAAUGCGAUAAGUAAUGUGAAUUGCAGAAUUCAGUGAAUCAUCGAAUCUUUGAACGCACAUUGCGCCCCUUGGUAUUCCGAGGGGCAUGCCUGUUCGAGCGUCAUUAUGACCACUCAAGCCUAGCUUGGUAUUGGGGUUCGCGGUCUCGCGGCCCUUAAAACCAGUGGCGGUGCCAUCUGGCUCUAAGCGUAGUAAUUUAUCUCGCUAUUGGGUCCGGUGGUUGCUUGCCAACAACCUCCAACUUCUAAGGUUGACCUCGGAUCAGGUAGGGAUACCCGCUGAACUUAAGCAUAUCAAUAGCCGGAGGAA
rnacentral:rRNA from 1 species